rnacentral:lncRNA from 1 species
GAGGAAUCAGCGGAGAAAAACGAGUCGGGGGUAUGAAAUUUACCUCGAUCGGCGGUCAGAAAUUUCCCCGGUGCGGCGGCGGGUGGCGGCGGUCGGCCUCUGGUUCGUCUUCUCCGGCGAGCGGCGGGCGGCUAGGGUUUGUGGUCUGGUGUGGGGGUUCUAUUUAUAACCCCUUGCCUUUUGAUCACAGCCGUUCAUUUCGUUUUAAUCUGGG